rnacentral:rRNA from 1 species
UACGAAGGGUGCAAGCGUUAAUCGGAAUUACUGGGCGUAAAGCGUGCGUAGGCGGUUUGUUAAGUCUGCUGUGAAAUCCCCGGGCUCAACCUGGGAAUGGCAGUGGAUACUGGCAAGCUAGAGUAUGGCAGAGGGGGGUAGAAUUCCACGUGUAGCAGUGAAAUGCGUAGAGAUGUGGAGGAAUACCGAUGGCGAAGGCAGCCCCCCUGGGCCAAUACUGACGCUCAUGCACGAAAGCGUGGGGAGCAAACAGG